UCCAGCAGGGGGUCAUCCGACAGUGGAGUUCGGAUGGUGUUGUGGAGGUUUGUCUGUUGGAGGAGUUUUGAGGACACUAUGAAAGGUCAAAUACUGGAGGAGUCUGGGAUUCAAUUCUGCUGUAGAAGUUCGGACGGAGUCCGACUUUUGUAGUAGUCUGAAAGGAGGCCGCUUAUGUAGAAGCUCGGAUGGAGACUUCUUAUUAUAGAAGUCCCACUGCUGGAGAAGCUCGAUCAUUGAUAAAGUUCGGAAGAAGUUCAGAAUAGAAAUCUGGCUGGUGG
rnacentral:lncRNA from 1 species